rnacentral:rRNA from 1 species
AUUGAACGCUGGCGGCAGGCCUAACACAUGCAAGUCGAACGAGUGGCGGACGGGUGAGUAAUGUCUGGGAACCUGCCCGAUGGAGGGGGAUAACUACUGGAAACGGUAGCUAAUACCGCAUACCAUCAGAUGUACCCAGAUGGGAUUAGCUCGUUGGUGGGGUAACGGCUCACCUAGGCGACGAUCCCUAGCUGGUCUGAGAGGAUGACCAGCCACACUGGAACUGGGACACGGCCCAGACUCCUACGGGAGGCAGCAGUGGGGAAUAUUGCACAAUGGGCGCAAGCCUGAUGCAGCCAUGCCGCGUGUAUGAAGAAGGCCUUCGGGUUGUAAAGUACUUUCAGCGGGGAGGCGUUACCCGCAGAAGAAGCACCGGCUAACUCCGUGCCAGCAGCCGCGGUAAUAC